AUUGAACGCUGGCGGCAUGCUUUACACAUGCAAGUCGAACGGCAGCGGGGUAGUGCUUGCACUACUGUCCGGCGAGUGGCGAACGGGUGAGUAAUAUAUCGGAACGUACCGAGUAAUGGGGGAUAACCAAUCGAAAGAUUGGCUAAUACCGCAUACGUCCUGAGGGAGAAAGCGGGGGAUCGCAAGACCUCGCGUUAUUCGAGCGGCCGAUAACUGAUUAGCUAGUUGGUGGGGUAAAGGCCUACCAAGGCGACGAUCAGUAGCGGGUCUGAGAGGACGAUCCGCCACACUGGGACUGAGACACGGCCCAGACUCCUACGGGAGGCAGCAGUGGGGAAUUUUGGACAAUGGGGGCAACCCUGAUCCAGCCAUGCCGCGUGUAUGAAGAAGGCCUUCGGGUUGUAAAGUACUUUUGUUAGGGAAGAAAAGGGAAGUGCUAAUACCACUUUUUGCUGACGGUACCUAAAGAAUAAGCACCGGCUAACUACGUGCCAGCAGCCGCGGUAAUACGUAGGGUGCGAGCGUUAAUCGGAAUUACUGGGCGUAAAGCGAGCGCAGACGGUUAUUUAAGCAGGAUGUGAAAUCCCCGGGCUUAACCUGGGAACUGCGUUCUGAACUGGAUAGCUAGAGUGUGUCAGAGGGGGGUAGAAUUCCACGUGGAGCAGUGAAAUGCGUAGAGAUGUGGAGGAAUACCGAUGGCGAAGGCAGCCCCCUGGGAUAACACUGACGUUCAUGCUCGAAAGCGUGGGUAGCAAACAGG
rnacentral:rRNA from 1 species